rnacentral:piRNA from 1 species
UACCAAGUGCUGAGACCCAAACGCAUA